GACAUCCAUCAUUUGGCCUUGAAACUGGAUCUCUUGCGCUUCAGCUGAUGGGGAAUCAUUUCCGUAAUCUCUGCUGAAAAGCAGUAAGAAACUUCUUUCCGUUAACCACAGACAUUCAGCUAAAAAAAUUGAAGGGAAUUUUAAACUGCCAACAGCACGCAGCCCUGAGGCGGAGAUGAGAAGACAAUGGGACCUUCCCACAGCAUGUUGGAGACGUCCAAUAAGUGCUUCCUGGUCGAUCUUACAAGGACGAGGAGCCAUAGAGCCGGACCCUGGACCUGCCUUCAGAGCUUGGAGCUGUGUGACCUCAGGAAGGUCCUGCCCAUCUCUGGACUCGGCCCCAUGAAAGGGGCGAUGAAGCCAGUCCCUGGAGCCCCCUCCCACCCACCCUGUGACUGUCACGGUGUCAUGGACUCAGUCUCCUCGAGAAGCUGGAAAGUGCCCCAAGGGCUGCAUCAUCUGGUUGUCCGGAGGGCUUCACUCCGGGGAAGUUUCACUGAACAACACAGUAAACAGUGACACAAAGCA